rnacentral:rRNA from 1 species
GACGAACGCUGGCGGCGUGCUUAACACAUGCAAGUCGAACGGAAAGGCCCUGCUUUUGUGGGGUGCUCGAGUGGCGAACGGGUGAGUAACACGUGAGUAACCUGCCCUUGACUUUGGGAUAACUUCAGGAAACUGGGGCUAAUACCGGAUAGGAGCUCCUGCUGCAUGGUGGGGGUUGGAAAGUUUCGGCGGUUGGGGAUGGACUCGCGGCUUAUCAGCUUGUUGGUGGGGUAGUGGCUUACCAAGGCUUUGACGGGUAGCCGGCCUGAGAGGGUGACCGGCCACAUUGGGACUGAGAUACGGCCCAGACUCCUACGGGAGGCAGCAGUGGAGAAUAUUGCACAAUGGGCGGAAGCCUGAUGCAGCGACGCCGCGUGCGGAAUAACGGCCUUCGGGUUAUAAACCGCUUUCGCCUGUGACGAGGCGUGAGUGACGGUAAUGGGUAAGGAAGCACCGGCUAACUACGUG